GGAGCUCUUAUCACCACCCCAGAAUGUGGCAAACAUUUCUACGUGGCCUGCUUCGGAGGGAGGAAGGCCAAAACCCCAACAAAAAGUCCACUCGCUGAGGACAUCAGAGUGCACCCCAAAGCCCCCGCGAUCCAGGUCCUGCUUCGGAAACAUCACUGCAUGCAGCCCUCACAUCAACAUUGUCAGGGAGACCUACAAUCCAAUUAAUCUUCAGAGCCGCCCUGCAAAGGAAGCAAGCCACGUCAGCCACCACCAUCCAUUUGUGCAGUACAAGGCUCCCCCACUGUAUACGGCCUAAGACAUAAUGAGUGACACCCCAAAGACAGUGUGGGCCACAUUGGCAGAAACCAUUUGAUCAAUGCCUUACAGAAACCAGCUGAAAAUUUCGGACUCUUGGCUAAAAUUUGUUUGCAGUUCUGUUUUGUUUUAAUGCAGGUGGUCAUGUUGGCACACGGAACCAGGCAGAAGUGAAUACAUCGCUCCGAACAUCAUGUUCUUGCAGUGCAUACUUUUUCGGAGCCUACCAGUGCUUCCCAGGGCUUACAUUUUUAGAAUGAGUUUCACAUCCUAAUGAUACAUUCAGGUUGGGAGACUAGAUACGCAACGGAUAAUUAUCAAGCCUCCUGCCACUUAAGUAUAGGUUGUCAUUAUUGUUCAUCGCUCAUGUCAGUGGUGCAUUGGGUUUUAUAUCCUGUUUUCCCAUCGGGUCUAGACUGAAUCAUCUGUUCUGUCACAACACUGGCCUUUGGAGGCACCUAGAAGACAACAACGUGCAAAUAUUAGUUAACCUGCAUGCUGAUCAGAGGAUGUUUACAAAUGAUCACCUGGAGACACCCUCCGGUGCUGCUGGGGUUCCAUUAGAGCAGUUACUGAGCCUGUGAAUCACUGGAGAUAGCCAUCUUUCUCCUAAAGCUGGAAAACAUCCCUCAUCAGAUACAUGCAUUCCAACAUUUAAGGCAGGCAAAGCUUUUAUUUAAAGAAUAGGGUACUAGACUUAUUUUGGUGAUCACCUUGUAAGGUAUGUAUAUGUUGAAUCACUAUGUUGUGCACCUGAAACUAAUAUAACAUUGUAUAUCAA